rnacentral:rRNA from 1 species
CAGUUAAAAAGCUCGUAGUUGGAUUUUUAAAGGUGUCUGCUUCUAGAGGCCUUUAGUGCAUCUAAAGUUGCAGACUCCCUUUAUUUUGCCUUGGUUCUUCGUUGGGAUUCACUUCUCGAUUGAGCUACCGGGGCGUGUUUACUUUGAGAAAAUUAGGGUGUUCAAAACAGCCUCUUGGUUGUAUAUCAUAGCAUGGAAUAAUAACUGAUGACAUUGGUCAUUUUUUGUUGGUGCGGAAUGGCUGAAGUAAUGAUUGAUAGAGUUAGUCGGAGGUAUUAGUAUUUUAUCGUUAGCGGUGAAAUGCAUGGAUCGGUAAAAGACUAACAACUGCGAAAGCAUUUAUCUAGGAUUUGCUCAUUGAUCAAGAACGAAAGUUGGGGGAUCGAAGACGAUCAGAUACCGUCGUAGUCUCAACUAUAAACUAUACCAGCUAGGGAUUGGUAAGCGUUGCUUGACCUUAUCAGAACCUUAUGAGAAAUCAAAGCAUUUGGGUUCCGGGGGGAGUAUGGUCGCAAGGCUGAAACUUAAAGGAAUUGACGGAAGGGCACCACAAGUUGUGGAUCCUGUGGCUUAAUUUGACUCAACACGGGAAAACUUACCAGGUCCAGACAUAGCAAGGAUUGGCAGAUUGAUAGCUCUU